rnacentral:sRNA from 1 species
UUGACAACCUGGAAGAGUGAAGUCCUCUGUUGAUCUACAGAACAGACAUAGCAUAGGCAUCAGCAAUACCAGCUUCCACACUGCCUCUGCCAAUGUGCACCUGGCCUGACCUGAAAGGAAUCCCCUUUGGAUUAGAUGACAGCUCAGUCUCCAGGCCCUGUCAGCCCUUGUCAUCC